rnacentral:rRNA from 1 species
ACGCACGCUGGCGGCGUGCUUAACCCCUGCCAGUCGAACGAUGAAGCCUUAGCUUGCUUUGGUGGAUUAGUGGCGAACGGGUGAGUAACACGUGAGCAACGUGCCCAGGACUCUGGAAUAACCGCGGGAAACCGUGGCUAAUACCGGAUAGGUGCCGAGGCCGCAUGGUCUUCGGUUGGAAAGUUUUUGCGGUUCUGGAUCGGCUCACGGCCUAUCAGCUUGUUGGUGGGGUAAUGGCCUACCAAGGCGACGACGGGUAGCCGGCCUGAGAGGGUGACCGGCCACACUGGGACUGAGACACGGCCCAGACUCCUACGGGAGGCAGCAGUGGGGAAUAUUGCACAAUGGGCGCAAGCCUGAUGCAGCAACGCCGCGUGGGGGAUGACGGCCUUCGGGUUGUAAACCUCUUUUAGUAGGGAAGAAGCGCAAGUGACGGUACCUGCAGAAAAAGCACCGGCUAACUACGUG